rnacentral:rRNA from 1 species
UACAGAGGGGGCAAGCGUUGUUCGGAAUUACUGGGCGUAAAGGGCGCGUAGGCGGCCUGUUAAGUCGAACGUGAAAUCCCCGGGCUCAACCCGGGAACUGCGUCCGAUACUGGCAGGCUUGAAUCCGGGAGAGGGAUGCGGAAUUCCAGGUGUAGCGGUGAAAUUCGUAGAUAUCGGGAGGAACACCAGUGGCGAAGGCGGCGAUCUGGGAAGAUACUGACGCUGAGGUGCGAAAGCGUGGGGAGCAAACAGG